rnacentral:rRNA from 1 species
GAUGAACGCUGGCGGCGUGCCUAAUACAUGCAAGUCGAGCGAACAGAUCAGGAGCUUGCUCCUUUGACGAUAGCGGCAGACGGGUGAGUAACACGUGGGUAACUUACCUAUAAGACUGGAAUCAUUACGGGAAACCGGGUCUAAUGCCGGAUAAGAUGUUGAACCGCAGGGUUCUACAGAAAAAGGCGGCUUUGGUGGAAGUUAUCGCUGGUCCUGCGCCGUAUUAGCUAGUUGGUGAGGUGAAGGGUCAACAAGGCAACGAUGCGUAGCCGAGCGGAGGGGCGGGUCGCCCACACGGGAACUGAGACACGCUCCAGGCUCCUACGGGACGCAGCAGUAGCGAAUCUGCCGCAGUGGGCGAAAGCCUGACGGAGCAACGCCACGUCAGUGAUGACGGUCUUCGGUUCGUAAUACUCUGUUAUUAGGGAAGAACAAAUGCGUAAGUAACUGUGCGCGUCUUGACGGUACCUAAUCAGAAAGCCCCGGCUAACUACGUG